GCAUCGGUGGUGUAAUGGAAAGCACGGCAGAACGGAUAUCUGUAAGUGUGGGUACGAGUCCCGCAUGCG
rnacentral:tRNA from 1 species